GACGGAGGGUGCUAGCGUUGUUCGGAAUUACUGGGCGUAAAGCGCGUGUAGGCGGCACGGUAAGUCGAGUGUGAAAGCCCGGGGCUCAACCUCGGAAGUGCAUUCGAAACUGCCGUACUUGAGUACGGGAGAGGGAAGCGGAACUCCUGGUGUAGAGGUGAAAUUCGUAGAUAUCAGGAGGAACACCGGUGGCGAAGGCGGCUUCCUGGACCGAUACUGACGCUGAGACGCGAAAGCGUGGGGAGCAAACAGG
rnacentral:rRNA from 1 species